UAGGUGAGUGUAAUCAGCGAGGUGGCUUUAUCGUGAAGUCAGAACUCAAUUCAGACUACUCUUCCCCCAGA
rnacentral:RNase_P_RNA from 2 species